CGCGGGGUAGAGCAGUUUGGUAGCUCGUCGGGCUCAUAACCCGGAGGUCGUAGGUUCGAAUCCUGCCCCCGCCA
rnacentral:tRNA from 1 species